UAUGAAAUGUAUCUAAUCGAUAUUCCAUUAAUGGAGUCACAACUCAAUCUUAUCAGAGAUAAUACUUAUGUGACAUACCAAAUUAACCUAGAAAAUGAACAAAUGAAGUAGUCAUUAUCGUGUUCUAAAAUUUCCACAAUGGAAUAUGCUAAGUGUCUGGCGGUUUUGUUAAUACUUGGCGUAGUGAGUUGUGAUCUAUGUGAAAAGAACAUAGAAGAUUUGUUUACAAGUGAUAAUGGGCGGUGCCAAGAACAAUUCAAAGGUACUUUCAGUGUGACCGCUGUGAGCGUAAAUAAUGAAAAUGAUGUUUUAAAUGUAUUAACUCCGAAUGCAAAUCCAAGCUGUAUAGCCUCAGACACACUAUCAUUGGCUAGUGGUGGGAUUUUGAAAAUCAAGGUUUACUCAAAAUCAGUUGCUGUAGACGAUUACUUGACAGUGUCAGUGUAUGAGGCAGAAGAAAACAAUGUUGUUGGCCAAGCAACCCUCCUCGACGCUGACAACAGAGUUGAUGAUGGAUGGAACGUUUUAGAAGUUAUAUUAGAGGGAAAACCACAUUACAAUGGUUAUAUCAUGCUCGUUGGGAAAACUUCUUCAAACUCGGAAAUCCUGGUCGAAUCAAUCUGCUACUUUCCUGCAGAACAAAUGAAACUACUUCGCGAAGACUCCGAACUCACAACUCAUAAUGAAGCUGUACAGGCAGAUUCAAUUUUAAGUCAUCAAGUUCACAUUGAGUCAG